rnacentral:lncRNA from 1 species
CUUCAUAGGAUAGCUUCAAGCUCCUCAAUAGCAUGUAAUCUCAAGCCAUGAAGUUGAAGCUAGGACGCGAUCGGAGCAACAUGAGGAGCUAAAUUCCUCGUGGAGGUAGGAUCUAGGAUAGCUUAGGAUGUAGUUGAAUCUCAUGUAAUCUGCUUAAUUGUAAGGAUUUACUCUGUUAACAGUGUUUACUUAAUGCAAUUCUUCUCUUAAUGCUUUAUGAUCCUUCAUUAGUGUUGUAAUGAUUUUGAGUUAAGUCA